rnacentral:tRNA from 1 species
GCGGGUGGAUGCUGUCCGGUGGUGGCCCACGUCUUCAAAAUGUGUGGACGGCGUGACGAACGUCGCCGGUGGGUUCGACUCCCACGCACUCGCGCCA